AAUAAAAAUUUUGUAUUACUGCUACCCUCACUCUCUCUCUCUCAAAAAAAAGUCAACUUCAGUUUCUAGCUUCAUUUCCUUCGGCUUUUGCAAUCAUUGCCGGAUCCGGUGGUGGAGCGGCUUCUGCUAUUCGAUCUAGGCUGAGAUGAUAGACGGGAUAAGAGAAGAUUGAAAAGUAUUGAUGGAUUAGAAAUCUGAUAUAUAUAUAUAAAAAAAAAGUGAUAUUAAAACUUCUUCUCUUUCCCUAGUUAAUUCUUAUGAUUAUCAAUACAAUCUAGAGAGUUUCAGUUGUUUUUUGAGCUUGAUUUGGUUGAGAAAAAGUUAGAUAUGUGAUGAUUAUUCAAUUAGGAUCAUAUCGAUCUGCUUUUUGCCUAACAAGUUUAACCAGUCAACCAAAUCAUGUAAUUUUGUUCACUGGAGAAUAGUUUUCCUUAAUACCUAUACCAUUUUGCAAUUUUAAUAUUGUAGCUGCUACUGAAGCUAAUGGCGAUGAACUUGGUGAACUUCUCAAGCUACUUGAUGAGAUCAACGCCGAUGGGUCACAAAAGAAGAGGCGCAACACUAAGUCAAAGCGCAUAACACUUCCUGAUCUUGAACCUUUUUUUUGGAAAUUUCCUCUUUAUCAUGUUUGUAAAAAGUUUGGAGUUGGUGAAACCACCUUUAGGACUAUUUGUAGGAAGCUUGGCAUCCCUAAGUGGCCAUAUGACCAGAAAAGAAAAACUAACACCAAACGCAAACAAAGAAACGCUAACACCACACGCGAUCAAGGAAACGUCAUGAACACCGUACGCUAUCAAGGAAACAUUAAGACUGUCAGGGUUCAAGGAAACGGCAACGUUGCCGUUAACACUACCGUAUGCGAUCAUGGAAACGGUAACAUCAUAAGCGAUGAGCCACCUAUAGCGGAAAUCUUUUACUUGGAUGACAAUCCCUGUCCGGAUAUGAGGACGAUCAUGCAUGCAGGAGAUUAUUAGAGCUAAUUUGAUCCGAAAUUAAAUUAGUUAAAUACGAGUGUGUUAUUAAAUUUUGUGUCCUUUUAUGUAGUGAUACUCUAUCUAUAUUGGUUUUGGCGCAUGUACCUAGCUAGUAAUAAUUUGUGACAUAAAGUACCGGCCGCUGGUGGUACGUGGUGUGAGAUUAUAUAUUCGAUCUGGAAUUAUCUGUUGGAAUUGAUUAUAUUAUAUAUAUAUGACUGGCCGGCCAUUUAAUUGUGGUUGGAUAUA